GAUGAACGCUGGCGGCGUGCCUAAUACAUGCGAGUCGAGCGAACGGACGAGAAGCUUGCUUCUCUGAUGUUAGCGGCGGACGGGUGAGUAACACGUGGAUAACCUACCUAUAAGACUGGGAUAACUUCGGGAAACCGGAGCUAAUACCGGAUAAUAUUUUGAACCGCAUGGUUCAAAAGUGAAAGACGGUCUUGCUGUCACUUAUAGAUGGAUCCGCGCUGCAUUAGCUAGUUGGUAAGGUAACGGCUUACCAAGGCAACGAUGCAUAGCCGACCUGAGAGGGUGAUCGGCCACACUGGAACUGAGACACGGUCCAGACUCCUACGGGAGGCAGCAGUAGGGAAUCUUCCGAAAUGGGCGAAAGCCUGACGGAGCAACGCCGCGUGAGUGAUGAAGGUCUUCGGAUCGUAAAACUCUGUUAUUAGGGAAGAACAUAUGUGUAAGUAACUGUGCACAUCUUGACGGUACCUAAUCAGAAAGCCACGGCUAACUACGUG
rnacentral:rRNA from 1 species